AUGUUGGAUACGGUUUACAGAGAUGAGCUUCGGGCCCGCCACAGUAUCAACAGUGGAUUUAUUGUAGCUCAGGCGUGUCAUGACUCUACCAUUGAAAAGAUUGGCCUCCGAAGAGGGGAUGUGAUUGACUUGGAUCAUCGUUCUACUGUAGUUGAGCUUGAAGAAUUUCUUCUUGGUCUUGGUUGGGUCUUCUUGGAGAAGAAACUUGAUUCGCACUCGACCAUAGAUGUCAAGAUACGAGUUCAUGAUAUUCGUGCAAAAACAAGUGUUUGUACUAUUUUACCUAUGGGAUUCAGCGAUGCUGUAGUGCACUCAUACCAUUCAUCAGCCUCAUCCCAGGCCGUGAGACCGUGA
rnacentral:rRNA from 1 species